rnacentral:rRNA from 1 species
CAGUCGCCGCGGGAAUACAGAGGGUGCAAGCGUUAAUCGGAAUUACUGGGCGUAAAGCGCACGCAGGCGGUCUGACAAGUCAGAUGUGAAAUCCCCGGGCUUAACCUGGGAACUGCAUUUGAAACUGUCAGGCUGGAGUCUUGUAGAGGGGGGUAGAAUUCCAGGUGUAGCGGUGAAAUGCGUAGAGAUCUGGAGGAAUACCGGUGGCGAAGGCGGCCCCCUGGACAAAGACUGACGCUCAGGUGCGAAAGCGUGGGGAGCAAACAGGAUUAGAUACCCCUGUAGUCCCUGUCUCUUAUAC